rnacentral:lncRNA from 1 species
AUCAUUCAGGAGCAGGCCUGGGUGAUCCCAAAGUAAUAUCUGUUCCUCCCUCUGCAUAGAUCACUGAGAAGCAGUGAUGAGCACAGUGACUGCACCAUGUGAUAUGUGAGCAUCAGCUGUGGGAGUCAGGGAAACAUUGGAUGAGUUGCAUGGAGGAUGAGAUUCUUCUACAUACCAAGUGGCACGAUACAUAAAAUAUUCAACUGUAUGCCAAGAAGGUUGAGAUUCACAUGCAGCAACUGAGUAGCAUAUUUCUAUGUCUCCAUGAACAUGUCACCAUGGAGUGAGUUGUAACACUGAAAACAUCCAAAAGUCAUCUUUCAUGGAUAUCGGCAGCAAUGUAGAGAAUGGCUUGGAGAUGCCGCCUAUACUUCAUUGUAACUUACAAUGAUUUUCACAGAAGUAAAAAUAUAUACCAAACAAUAUGUAUUGUGGAAUCCUCUCUGAGGAGUUCUUCAUGAAUGUGGUGGAAGGAACGAGGCUUACAGAGAAUAAUUGCUGCCAUAAGAAAGACGACUGAAAUUGACAAUAAACUGAAUUUGGC